CACAUUCUUUCACAUCACAGCUGAUGUUGACGACUGAAAACAUUUUUUGUAUAAUAUUAUUGCCAUUCCGUGCACGUUUUCUAUGAUACCUAUCUACGGAUAAUAAUAUUGCAUUUUGAGUAUUGUAACAAUAAUAUAUAUAUACAUUAUGAUUGAUACAACGACAUAAGCAUACUAGAGUUUUGAAUGCUCAGGAAUGCUUAAUUAGACAGAGUUCGGACAGAUGUAAAUUGUUCAACAAGAGUUGUUUUUGUUAGACCUGAUUGAAUAUACACCAUCGAGUGAUUCGAGUGACGGUAAUUCAUAGAAUUAAUUAACUGAAUAUAACAGGCUACGGAAUUUAAAAAUCAUUUUAAUAUAAUAGUUGUUUAAUUUAGUUUGGUGACAAAGUUGAAAAAUGUUUAGGCAAUGUUUGAAACAAUUGAUAAAAAUUAUCAUCAUUGUUUGUAUAGUAUAUAUAUGUUAUGAUAUGUUGUUAAUUAUGUUCAAAACAAUUUUAUUAUUUGUAUUAUAUUAUACAUUUAAGUCACUGUUAAAUAUUAAAUAAUAAUUUUUGAUAUUGCUAUUCAUA